rnacentral:rRNA from 1 species
UACGUAUGGAGCAAGCGUUAUCCGGAUUUACUGGGUGUAAAGGGAGUGUAGGUGGCCAGGCAAGUCAGAAGUGAAAGCCCGGGGCUCAACCCCGGGACUGCUUUUGAAACUGCAGGGCUAGAGUGCAGGAGGGGCAAGUGGAAUUCCUGGUGUAGCGGUGAAAUGCGUAGAUAUUAGGAGGAACACCAGUGGCGAAGGCGGCUUGCUGGACUGUAACUGACACUGAGGCUCGAAAGCGUGGGGAGCAAACAGG